GUGUCCAUCCCAUGCCCAUGCGCACCGCAAUUACCGUCUGCACGCCCCGGACGGCGCAGAGUGCCGUUUGUGCUGCCAUCACGCCAGUAGAUUGUCACGCCAUCGAGCAAUGAUUCCCGCCGGUAACUUCUCGAGCUUAAGCCGAAAAUGGAACCCCCAUAAUGUGUUGGCACUGCCCCCGCCCUGCAACCACCUGCUAACCCCUCUGGUCGCCGAAAUUUUUCAUCGAAGUUAAGCUCCCGCGGCACCCCCUCUCGUCCGCCUAUGAAUAUAGAGCCCCCAAGCAGCUAGCCAGCCCAGCACCACCCCACCACUUCUCUAAGCCACGCCCAAGCCAGCAUAGGGCCUCGGGGAGGUCUACUACCCCGACUCCGGCCGCCCCGAUCCGCUUCGGGUCCUGAAAAAAUUCGCCCUGACCCUCCCUCCGGUGAGAUCUUGUUCCACCCGACGCUGCCGUGUGCCAAAGAAGAAGCAACCCUCGAUCUGGUGCUCGCUAAGGACGGUUUCCACCAGCCCCCGAAGCGGGAGGAUCCCGUGAGUGCCCCAGUGCCCUUGGUUGCCCAUGCCAUGCCUUGGAUCGCCGCCGGCGAUCACCGCAAGCUCCUGCCGCCGGGACAUUUCAAACAUGACGGGUGGACUCCCCUCGUUAGAAUUCUUUUAUUUUCGAACUGUUUUCCUAAAGCGCCUUUUAGCGGAAUGUGUUUCCCCUUUUAGCUUGAGUAUUUUGAAUCGGACAUUUUGCUCCUUUGCAGUCUGCCCCCUCGGGAGUUUCUGUUUCUUUACAAAGUGAGCUCAAAUUUCACUUCCUUUAUAACUUGUAAACUACGAAGGCUUUUUAAAUGAUUCUUUUUGCAAAGUUUUAUCCA